rnacentral:rRNA from 1 species
UACGUAGGUGGCGAGCGUUGUCCGGAAUUACUGGGUGUAAAGCGCGCGUAGGCGGGAGGCCAAGUCCGCUGUGAAAUCGCCCGGCUCAACUGGGCGCGGUCGGUGGAAACUGGUCACCUGGAGGACGGUAGAGGCGAGUGGAAUUCCCGGUGUAGUGGUGAAAUGCGUAGAUAUCGGGAAGAACACCCGUGGCGAAGGCGGUUCUCUGGGACGGUACUGACGCUGAGACGCGAAAGCGUGGGGAGCGAACAGG